rnacentral:rRNA from 1 species
GACGAACGCUGGCGGCGUGCCUAAUACAUGCAAGUAGAACGCUGAAGGAGGAGCUUGCUUCUCUGGAUGAGUUGCGAACGGGUGAGUAACGCGUAGGUAACCUGCCUGGUAGCGGGGGAUAACUAUUGGAAACGAUAGCUAAUACCGCAUAAUAGUAGAUGUUGCAUGACAUUUGCUUAAAAGGUGCAAUUGCAUCACUACCAGAUGGACCUGCGUUGUAUUAGCUAGUUGGUGGGGUAACGGCUCACCAAGGCGACGAUACAUAGCCGACCUGAGAGGGUGAUCGGCCACACUGGGACUGAGACACGGCCCAGACUCCUACGGGAGGCAGCAGUAGGGAAUCUUCGGCAAUGGACGGAAGUCUGACCGAGCAACGCCGCGUGAGUGAAGAAGGUUUUCGGAUCGUAAAGCUCUGUUGCAAGAGAAGAACGAGUGUGAGAGUGGAAAGUUCACAAUGUGACGGUAUCUUACCAGAAAGAGACGGCUAACUACGUG